CAAGUCUGGUGCCAGCAGCCGCGGUAAUUCCAGCUCCAAUAGCGUAUAUUAAAGUUGUUGCAGUUAAAAAGCUCGUAGUUGAAACUUGGGCCUGGCUGGCAGGUCCGCCUCACCGCGUGUACUUGUCCGGCCGGGCCUUUCCUUCUGGAGAACCUCAUGCCCUUCACUGGGUGUGUUGGGGAACCAGGACUUUUACUUUGAAAAAAUUAGAGUGUUCAAAGCAGGCCUUUGCUCGAAUACGUUAGCAUGGAAUAAUAGAAUAGGACGUGCGGUCCUAUUUUGUUGGUUUCUAGGACCGCCGUAAUGAUUAAUAGGGACAGUCGGGGGCAUCAGUAUUCAAUUGUCAGAGGUGAAAUUCUUGGAUUUAUUGAAGACUAACUACUGCGAAAGCAUUUGCCAAGGAUGUUUUCAUUAAUCAGUGAACGAAAGUUAGGGGAUCGAAGACGAUCAGAUACCGUCGUAGUCUUAACCGUAAACUAUGCCG
rnacentral:rRNA from 1 species